GAUGAACGCUGGCGGCAUGCCUUACACAUGCAAGUCGAACGGCAGCACGGGUGCUUGCACCUGGUGGCGAGUGGCGAACGGGUGAGUAAUACAUCGGAACGUACCUUAUCGUGGGGGAUAACGCAGCGAAAGCUGUGCUAAUACCGCAUAAGCCCUGAGGGGGAAAGCGGGGGAUCGAAAGACCUCGCGCGAUUAGAGCGGCCGAUGCCUGAUUAGCUUGUUGGUGGGGUAAAAGCCCACCAAGGCGACGAUCAGUAGCUGGUCUGAGAGGACGUUCAGCCACACUGGGACUGGGACACGGCCCAGACUCCUACGGGAGGCAGCAGUGGGGAAUUUUGGACAAUGGGGGCAACCCUGAUCCAGCAAUGCCGCGUGAGUGAAGAAGGCCUUCGGGUUGUAAAGCUCUUUUGUCAGGGAAGAAACACCGGCUCUAACACAGUCCGGGAAUGACGGUACCUGAAGAAUAAGCACCGGCUAACUACGUGCCAGCAGCCGCGGUAA
rnacentral:rRNA from 1 species